rnacentral:rRNA from 1 species
AGAGUGAACGCUGGCGGUAGGCCUAACACAUGCAAGUCGAACGGCAGCACAGGAGAGCUUGCUCUCUGGGUGGCGAGUGGCGGACGGGUGAGGAAUACAUCGGAAUCUACCUUUUCGUGGGGGAUAACGUAGGGAAACUUACGCUAAUACCGCAUAAGACCUUCGGGUGAAAGCCGGGGACCUUCGGGCCUGGCGCGGAUAGAUGAGCCGAUGUCGGAUUAGCUUGUUGGCGGGGUAAAAUCCACCAAGGCGACGAUCCGUAGCUGGUCUGAGAGGAUGAUCAGCCACACUGGAACUGAGACACGGUCAGACUCCGUACGGGAGCAGCAGGUGGGAAUAGUGGAACAAGUGGGCGCAAGCCUGAUCCAGCCAUACCGCGUAGGGUGAAGAGGCCUUGGGUUAGUAAAGUCCUUUAGUAGGAAAGAAUCAGCCGAUUAAUAUCAGUAGGAUAGACGUACCAAAGAAUAA